GGGAAAAUUGGUGGAUUUCAAGUAAUCAAGCAAUCAAAGGUGGUGAGUCCUCCGAUAAAGGCAAGGAAAUUGUACCCAAGGAUUGAUAAUCGGAGUACUUUAGAAAUUCGACUUCCGAAAUAGCUCAGGAUAAUUGGUAGAUAGCUAAUUUCAUCAAGGAUUACAAUUGGACUGGCAUCCUCAAAAUAUGUAGGUUUAUCUUUCUAGAUACCUUUGGUCGUUCCUGAACUCACGUGUCAUUGCAAAUUUAAUUUUAUACUUUGGUUAUCUGUAUUACAAUAUAUAUGAAUUUAUUUUUC